AUUUAAAUAGUUUAAUAAAAAUAUUGAUUUGUGAAGUCAGGGAUAUAGAUAGUCUAUUUUAGAUA
rnacentral:tRNA from 1 species